rnacentral:rRNA from 1 species
CCUACGGGAGGCAGCAGUGGGGAAUAUUGGACAAUGGGGGGAACCCUGAUCCAGCGACGCCGCGUGAGUGAAGAAGUAUUUCGGUAUGUAAAGCUCUAUCAGCAGGGAAGAAAGAAAUGACGGUACCUGACUAAGAAGCCCCGGCUAACUACGUGCCAGCAGCCGCGGUAAUACGUAGGGGGCAAGCGUUAUCCGGAUUUACUGGGUGUAAAGGGAGCGUAGACGGCGAUGCAAGUCUGAAGUGAAAGGCGGGGGCCCAACCCCCGGACUGCUUUGGAAACUGUAUGGCUGGAGUGCAGGAGAGGUAAGUGGAAUUCCUAGUGUAGCGGUGAAAUGCGUAGAUAUCAGGAGGAACACCGGCGGCGAAGGCGGCCUGCUGGACUGAAACUGACGUUGAGGCUCGAAAGCGUGGGGAGCAAACAGGAUUAGAUACCCCUGUAGUC